rnacentral:rRNA from 1 species
CUACGGGGGGCUCCAGUGGGGAAUAUUGCACAAUGGGCGCAAGCCUGAUGCAGCCAUGCCGCGUGUAUGAAGAAGGCCUUCGGGUUGUAAAGUACUUUCAGCGGGGAGGAAGGGAGUAAAGUUAAUACCUUUGCUCAUUGACGUUACCCGCAGAAGAAGCACCGGCUAACUCCGUGCCAGCAGCCGCGGUAAUACGGAGGGUGCAAGCGUUAAUCGGAAUUACUGGGCGUAAAGCGCACGCAGGCGGUUUGUUAAGUCAGAUGUGAAAUCCCCGGGCUCAACCUGGGAACUGCAUCUGAUACUGGCAAGCUUGAGUCUCGUAGAGGGGGGUAGAAUUCCAGGUGUAGCGGUGAAAUGCGUAGAGAUCUGGAGGAAUACCGGUGGCGAAGGCGGCCCCCUGGACGAAGACUGACGCUCAGGUGCGAAAGCGUGGGGAGCAAACAGGAUUAGAUACCCCGGUAGUC